rnacentral:rRNA from 1 species
AGAGUUUGAUCCUGGCUCAGAAUCAACGCUGGCGGCGCGCUUAACACAUGCAAGUCGAACGAGAAAGGGAGCAAUCCUGAGUAAAGUGGCGCACUGGUGAGUAACACGUGGGUAAUUUACCUUCUUGUGGGGAAUAACCCUGGGAAACUAGGGCUAAUACCGCAUACGUCCGAGAGGAGAAAGCCGCAAGGCGCAGGAAGAGAAGCCCGCGGCCGAUUAGCUAGUUGGUGAGGUAAUGGCUCACCAAGGCGACGAUCGGUAGCCGGCCUGAGAGGGCACACGGCCACACUGGCACUGAAACACGGGCCAGACUCCUACGGGAGGCAGCAGUGGGGAAUCUUGCACAAUGGGGGAAACCCUGAUGCAGCGACGCCGCGUGAACGAUGAAGCCCUUCGGGG